GUGAGGAAUAUUGGUCAAUGGGCGAGAGCCUGAACCAGCCAAGUAGCGUGCAGGAUGACGGCCCUAUGGGUUGUAAACUGCUUUUACACGGGGAUAAAGUGUGCGACGUGUCGUUCAUUGCAGGUACCGUGCGAAUAAGGACCGGCUAAUUCCGUGCCAGCAGCCGCGGUAAUCCGGAAGGUCCGGGCGUUAUCCGGAUUUAUUGGGUUUAAAGGGAGCGUAGGCCGUCUGUUAAGCGUGUUGUGACAUGUAGAUGCUCAAAAUCUGAAUUGCAGCGCGAACUGACCGACUUGAGUGCGCAGGAAGUAGGCGGAAUUCGUGGUGUAGCGGUGAAAUGCUUAGAUAUCACGAAGAACUCCGAUUGCGAAGGCAGCUUACUGUAGCGCCACUGACGCUGAAGCUCGAAAGUGCGGGUAUCGAACAGGAUUAGAAACCCGAGUAGUCC
rnacentral:rRNA from 1 species